UACGGAGGGUGCGAGCGUUGUCCGGAAUCAUUGGGCGUAAAGGGCGCGUAGGUGGCCCGGUCAGCGUGCGGUGAAAGCUCGGGGCUCAACCCCGAGCGGUCGUGGGAAACUGGCAGGCUAGAGUGCGGGAGAGGAGAAUGGAAUUCCUGGUGUAGCGGUGAAAUGCGCAGAUAUCGGGAGGAACACCAGCGGCGAAGGCGGCACUCUGGGCUGGAACUGACGCUGAGGAGCGAAAGCGUGGGUAGCAAACAGG
rnacentral:rRNA from 1 species